UACGGAGGAUCCAAGCGUUAUCCGGAUUUAUUGGGUUUAAAGGGUGCGUAGGCGGCCUAUUAAGUCAGGGGUGAAAGACGGUAGCUUAACUAUCGCAGUGCCUUUGAUACUGAUGGGCUUGAGUAUACUUGAGGUAGGCGGAAUGUGACAAGUAGCGGUGAAAUGCAUAGAUAUGUCACAGAACACCAAUUGCGAAGGCAGCUUACUAAAGUAUGAUUGACGCUGAGGCACGAAAGCGUGGGGAUCAAACAGG
rnacentral:rRNA from 1 species